GAUGGCUGCCCCUACUGAGGUAAAGAUUUGGAAAGGUGGUACUUUUCUUUCAGUAGGUUAUUAUUAAUGUAUUAUUUUACAUUUGUUACUUAGCACUAUUGCUAGGAGUGAAUCCUAUGUAAUCCCCCCAAAAAUAAAUAAAUAUAUAUUGGGUCAGCCAUCCAACCUCGUCCUCUGUGCACGGGAAGAGUAAAAUAAAAGGCAGGUGUCUGCACAAUUCACCCAUGCCCUGAGGCCGUGACAUGUAGCAGGGUAUAAAUAAACAUGGGUCAGGGGUUCCAAAUCUCUGGCCCAAAAUAACUUCUUAAACAACUUGCAAAAAGCCCCGUGUCAUAUAUAUCCCUCCCUCUUACAGUAAUCUAAUAGUCUAGUAAUCAGUGGGACUAAUUUAUAUAUAUUGCCUUUUUUUUUUUUUACGUUACAUUAGAUGGGUGGGAGUUUCAUAACCCUUUAAUUAAAAAAUAUAUGUGACAGGGUUAUUUAGUAAUGUGACAAUUCAAAGUGAAUUCCAAAUUUAGGGCCACAAAUAGUCCACAAGUCCAGGAGUCAUCAUCUUCUGCUUAUAGAAUUGUGCUCCAAAU